rnacentral:rRNA from 1 species
AGAGUUUGAUCCUGGCUCAGAAUCAACGCUGGCGGCAUGCCUAACACAUGCAAGUCGAACGCGAAAGUGGCUUCGGCCGCGAGUAGAGUGGCAAACGGGUGAGUAACGCGUGGGUGACCUGCCUUCGAGUGGGGGAUAACGUUUCGAAAGGAACGCUAAUACCGCAUAACAUCCUGUCCUUGAACGGAUGGAGAUCAAAGCCGGGGAUCGCAAGACCUGGCGCUUGGAGAGGGGCCCGCGUCCGAUUAGCUAGUUGGUGAGGUAACGGCCCACCAAGGCGACGAUCGGUAGCCGGCCUGAGAGGGCGGACGGCCACACUGGGACUGAGACACGGCCCAGACUUCUACGGGAGGCAGCAGUGGGGAAUUGUUCGCAAUGGGCGCAAGCCUGACGACGCAAUGCCGCGUGGAGGACGAAGAUUUUCGGAUCGUAAACUCCUGUCGAGCGGGACGAACGGCCUGGGGGCUAACAUCCUCUGGGAGUGACGGUACCGCUAAAGGAAGCCCCGGCUAACUCCGUGCCAGCAGCCGCGGUAAUACGGGGGGGGCAAGCGUUGUUCGGAAUUACUGGGCGUAAAGGGCGCGUAGGCGGCCUUCUAAGUCGGACGUGAAAUCCCUCGGCUUAACCGGGGAACUGCGUCCGAUACUGGAGGGCUUGGAUCCGGGAGAGGGAUGCGGAAUUCCAGGUGUAGCGGUGAAAUGCGUAGAUAUCUGGAGGAACACCGGUGGCGAAGGCGGCAUCCUGGACCGGCAUCGACGCUGAGGCGCGAAAGCCAGGGGAGCAAACGGGAUUAGAUACCCC